GGGAUGACUGGUGACAGAGUGAGGGAAGGGAUGACUAGUGGCAGAGUGAGAGAGGGGGUGACUAGUGACCGAGUGAGGGAGGGAGUGGGUGACUAGUGACAGAGUGAGGAAGGGGGUGACACAGUGAUAGUCACCUCAUUCCUCCCUCUGUCACUAAUCACCACCUCCCUCACUCUCACUAGUCACCCCUUCCCUCCCUCACUCUGUCACUAGUCACACCCUCCCUCUCUCUGUCACUAAUCACCCCCUCUGUCCCUAGUCACCCCCUUCCACACUCUGUCACUAGUCACCCCAUCCCUCUCUCUGUCACUAGUCACUCCC